rnacentral:rRNA from 1 species
UGCCAGCCGCCGCGGUAAUACAGAGGGUGCAAGCGUUAAUCGGAAUUACUGGGCGUAAAGCGCUCGUAGGUGGCUUGGUAAGUCUCAUGUGAAAGCCCCGGGCUCAACCUGGGAACUGCAUGGGAUACUGCUUGGCUAGAGUAUGGUAGAGGGAAGUGGAAUUUCCGGUGUAGCGGUGAAAUGCGUAGAUAUCGGAAGGAACACCAGUGGCGAAGGCGGCUUCCUGGACUAAUACUGACACUGAGGGGCGAAAGCGUGGGGAGCAAACAGGAUUAGAUA